rnacentral:lncRNA from 1 species
CCCCUCAAUCUGGAACUGAGAAUCCCAUCUUUCGGAAAUGAUUUGUAUUGGUCACACUUUAACAUAAGGAAAAAGCCGAUAUUAAACUUUAAAGAGUAAAUUUUAUUAACACAGAAAAAUUAUUUUAAAUAUUUCAAAACACAAACAUUAGUAUUCGUUGGGGUGGGGGAGUCCAACAAAAAAAAUAUAGGAAUUACAUUUUUCCAACGGUUGAAGUACUAAAAUUUUAUCAUGAACUUGAGUAACCAAAUCACAGCAAGCAAUCCCUUUUAAAACUUCAACUUUCUUUUCAAAUUUUUACAAAUAUUAAAAUGCAAAACAAAAAUCACAUAACAAU